CCUACGGGUGGCUGCAGUGGGGAAUAUUGGGCAAUGGAGGCAACUCUGACCCAGCAACGCCGCGUGAAUGAUGAAGGUCUUCGGAUUGUAAAGUUUUGUGAUGGGGGAUGAAAACAAUGACGGUACCCCAAUAGCAAGCCACGGCUAACUACGUGCCAGCAGCCGCGGUAAUACGUAGGUCGCAAGCGUUAUCCGGAUGGACUGGGCGGAAAGGGUGCGUGGGUGGGUUAGUAAGUUGGCGGUGUAAUUCCGGGGCUCAACCUCGGCGCUACCGCCAAAACUAUUAGACUAGAGUGCAGGAGAGGUAAGUGGAAUUCCUGGUGUAGCGGUGGAAUGCGUAGAUAUUAGGAGGAACAUCAGGGGCGAAGGCGACUUACUGGACUGUAACUGACACUGAGGCACGAAAGCGUGGGGAGCAAACAGGAUUAGAUACCCGGGUAGUC
rnacentral:rRNA from 1 species